UAUUAAUGAGCUUAAUGAAGAUACUUUCAUUCUAGUAAUAGGCUUUGGAAUAGAGGAGGAACAUGAUCAAUUACUUAAUGGUUUCUGUCCUUUAGGUUUCAAAUCUAUUAUUCAGGUUGAAACAGUUUUAUACAACACCUUACUUCAAAAGACCACUCGAUUGUUUUAUCUCAGCUUCAUUCAGCAAUACAGAAAUGAAGAUCAUCGAUAGUUGCAAACUGAUUUUGGAUACCAGGAGUGUGCUAAGACGAAGAAAUGAACAACACAGUCUUGCCUGCGGUGAGGUUUAUUCUCCUUCAGCUAGAGACAAGACUCAUUCUCCAGAGAGAAGAGCGAGCAGCAGUGGUCAUAUUUCACGUCAAGGUCAUGGAUGUGGACAAGGCAGGAAGAUGUAG
rnacentral:lncRNA from 1 species